UACGUAGGGUGCAAGCGUUGUCCGGAAUUAUUGGGCGUAAAGAGCUCGUAGGCGGUUUGUCGCGUCUGCCGUGAAAGUCCGGGGCUCAACUCCGGAUCUGCGGUGGGUACGGGCAGACUAGAGUGAUGUAGGGGAGACUGGAAUUCCUGGUGUAGCGGUGAAAUGCGCAGAUAUCAGGAGGAACACCGGUGGCGAAGGCGGGUCUCUGGGCCGAUACUGACGCUGAGGAGCGAAAGCGUGGGGAGCGAACAGGG
rnacentral:rRNA from 1 species